rnacentral:tRNA from 1 species
UUAUAUAGCUUAUAUUUAGAGUAUAAUAUUGAAGAUAUUAGGGAAAUUUUUAUAAUUUAUAAGUA